rnacentral:rRNA from 1 species
GUGAGGAAUUUUCCGCAAUGGGCGAAAGCCUGACGGAGCAAUGCCGCGUGAAGGAUGAAGGCCUAUGGGUUGUAAACUUCUUUUCUCAGAAAAGAAUUAUGACGGUAUCUGAGGAAUAAGCAUCGGCUAACUCUGUGCCAGCAGCCGCGGUAAGACAGAGGAUGCAAGCGUUAUCCGGAAUGAUUGGGCGUAAAGCGUCUGUAGGUUGUUUAAAAAGUAUUCUGUCAAAGAUUAGGGCUUAACCCUAGAUAGGCAGAAUAAACUUUUAAGCUAGAGUUUGGUAGAGGCAGAGGGAAUUCCCGGUGAAGCGGUGAAAUGCGUAGAUAUCGGGAGGAACACCAAAGGCGAAGGCACUCUGCUGGGCCAAUACUAACACUGAGAGACGAAAGCGAGGGGAGCAAAUGGGAUUAGAUACCCUGGUAGUCC